rnacentral:rRNA from 1 species
CAAGUCGAACGGGUCCGCCGCAAGGCGGGCCAGUGGCGCAAGGGUGAGUAAGGCGACGGUAACCAACCCCACGGUUGGGUAUAGCCGCGGGAAACUGCGGGUAAUCCCCAGCGACGUAAGAUGCCGGCAUCGGCGACUUAUCAAAGCUCCGGCGCCGUGGGACGGGCCGUUGUGGUAUUAGGUCGUUGGCGGGGUAACGGCCCACCAAGCCUGUGAUGCCUACCGGGCGUGCGAGCGUGGCCCGGCACACUGGGACUGAGACACUGCCCAGACUCCUACGGGAGGCUGCAGUCGAGAAUCUUCGGCAAUGGGCGCAAGCCUGACCGAGCGACGCCGCGUGGAGGAUGAAGGCCUUCGGGUUGUAAACUCCUGUCGAGGGGGAGGAAGGGGCGACCUUGACCGAUCCCUGGAGGAAGCACGGGCUAAGUUCGUGCCAGCAGCCGCGGUAAGACGAACCGUGCGAACGUUAUUCGGAAUCACUGGGCUUAAAGCGCGUGUAGGCGGAUGGGAACGUCGGACUCUGAAAGCCCCCGGCUCAACCGGGGAAGUGGAUCCGAAACGACCCGUCUGGAGGGACGUAGGGGGACCUGGAACUUCCGGUGGAGCGGUGAAAUGCGUUGAGAUCGGAAGGAACGCCCGUGGCGAAAGCGAGGUCCUGGACGUCUGCUGACGCUGAGACGCGAAAGCUAGGGGAGCGAACGGGAUUAGAUACCCCGGUAGUCCUAGCCGUAAACGAUGGGCACUGGGGUAGGGGGCUCGCCGAUGGGCUCCCUGCCGUAGCGAAAGCGUGAAGUGCCCCGCCUGGGGGAGUAUGGUCGCAAGGCUGAAACUCAAAGGAAUUGACGGGGGCUCACACAAGCGGUGGAGCAUGUGGCUUAAUUCGAGGCUACGCGAAGAACCUUAUCCUGGCUCGACAUGCAGGGAUUAGCCGGC